rnacentral:rRNA from 1 species
AUGUUUCUCUUGGAGGUGACAUGUGGACGUAGGCCAAUCUUCACCAGCGAGCAAAAAAAUCAGGUAUUACUGGUAGAUUGGGUGCUUGAGCACCACCAGAAUGGCUCAAUCCUCGACACGGUAGAUCCACGACUCCAAGGGGAAUUUAAUAGGGAGGAGGUAACCAUCGUGCUCAAACUAGGUUUGUUAUGCACGUACCCAUUGCCUGAUGUGCGGCCUAUUAUGCGGAAGGUCAUGCACUACCUCGACCAUGGUCAGUCGCCCCCUGAUUUAUCUCCGGCCUACAUAACCUACAUGAACCUAGUGAAAAACGAAGGGUUGAAUUCAUACAACAUGAACAGGCCAGGUUUGGGGCCCAAAAUGAGCGUUGCCACUAUAUCCUCGGCGACAAUUUUGCAAGACGGAAGAUGA